GAUGAUGUAGCUCAAUCGGUAGAGCGACUGUAUGUGGCACAGUCGGUUCCCUGUUCAAGUCAGGGUAUCCUCC
rnacentral:tRNA from 1 species